AGCAGCCGCGGUAAUUCCAGCUCCAAUAGCGUAUAUUAAAGUUGUUGCAGUUAAAAAGCUCGUAGUUGAAUUUCGGGAUUGACACAUCGGUCGUGCCUUAAGGGGUAUGAACUGGUGUAGUCAGUUUCUCACCUUCUGGAGAACCGCGAUGUCCUUAAUUGGGUGCCGCGAGGAACCAGGACCUUUACUUUGAAAAAAUUAGAGUGUUUAAAGCAGGCAUUUUGCUUGAAUACAUUAGCAUGGAAUAAUAAAAUAGGACGGAUGGUUCUAUUUUGUUGGUUUCUAGGAUCACCGUAAUGAUUAAUAGGGAUAGUUGGGGGCAUUAGUAUUCAAUUGUCAGAGGUGAAAUUCUUGGAUUUAUUGAAGACUAACUACUGCGAAAGCAUUUGCCAAGGAUGUUUUC
rnacentral:rRNA from 1 species